UUCACUGUCUAGUGAUAUAAAGAACCAUUUCAAAGUAGAGGAGGAGACACGGGUGAAAAGGUCAGAUGUGACUCCCAUCUGUGGGCUCUCUGUUCCCUCCAUCUAUCCUCACACUGAGUUGCGCAAGGCAGAUCAGGUUUCAAGCAUCUGGUCAGCACUGCCUGUCUUUGAGUCAACAGAUUUUGACAGCAGUGAUGAACGAUGUCUUUGGCCAACCAGAAUACAGGCUGUGAAAGGAAGUAAAGACACACCUUCAGUGACAGUGAUCACACAUAAAUCAGUAUCUCCAAAACAGUUGGAUGAAUGGUCAAACACUUUGAACCAUCAACGAGACCUGGGUAACAGAGUGAUGCAGGUUCCGAGUGAAACCAAACAACAUUAUUUGUUCAGCAGAAGAGAAACCUGGUGUAUGUCAUUAUUGUGGGAUUUCUGGUCACUGGCAAUGAGAAUGUCGGGAAAGAAAACGUCUUGAUGAGAAGUGGCCAGGAGAAGAAGGUUCCGUCUGAGGGAAAUUGGAACCAGGACAACAGCCCCAACAACACAAUGCUGAUGCAGAAAUUUAAGAAGCUCUCCAGCUGCUGUGGAGGUUAUGAGAAUCUAUCUUCUGAGGCUGCAGCAAUAUUCCUUGACCCAAGGCCUGUACCUGAAACAAUACAAGAUCACUGUUGAAGUGUUCAUUAGAGAAGUCCUUAUCAACCAGUGGAAUGGAAGAAUAAUUCCUCACUACGGGCAGACUGUCAGAAUAUAAUUUCUAAUAGUUAUCUAUGUGGGACUGAUAUCAGUGUGGAAGAGCUGGUCACUUUUAAAGGACUUGGCGAAUGAUUACCUUGCCAAUUAGGACGAUUGAGUUUUAUUGUCUUGCAGACAGUCUUAUUGUAACAGCAAAUAAAAUAUGCCCUUUGUGCUUUCUAGAAAUGCAAGGUGUUUAAUGUAAAUGA